rnacentral:rRNA from 1 species
AACGAACGCUGGCGGCAGGCUUAACACAUGCAAGUCGAGCGCCCCGCAAGGGGAGCGGCAGACGGGUGAGUAACGCGUGGGAAUCUACCCUUUUCUUCGGAAUAACGCAGGGAAACUUGUGCUAAUACCGUAUGAGCCCUUCGGGGGAAAGAUUUAUCGGGAAAGGAUGAGCCCGCGUUGGAUUAGCUAGUUGGUGGGGU